UGGCGACAACGGGACUCACUUAAUGUCAAACAAAUUAAGCCGCGGCCAUAUUUCGCCAUAAAGUUAAUGUGAUCUGCCGAAAUAUGCUCGGAAGCAAUAAUU
rnacentral:antisense_RNA from 1 species